UACGGGGGGGGCAAGCGUUGUUCGGAAUUACUGGGCGUAAAGGGCUGGUAGGCGGCCAACUAAGUCGGAUGUGAAAUCCCCAGGCUUAACCUGGGAACUGCAUCCGAUACUGGUCGGCUUGAAUCCGGGAGAGGGAUGCAGAAUUCCAGGUGUAGCGGUGAAAUGCGUAGAUAUCUGGAGGAACACCAAUGGCGAAGGCAGCUCGCUGGGACGUGACUGACGCUGAGACGCGAAAGCGUGGGGAGCAAACAGG
rnacentral:rRNA from 1 species